UGGGGAAUUUUGGACAAUGGGGGCAGCCCUGAUCCAGCAAUGCCGCGUGUGUGAAGAAGGCCUUCGGGUUGUAAAGCACUUUUGUCCGGAAAGAAAACGCCGUGGUUAAUACCCGUGGCGGAUGACGGUACCGGAAGAAUAAGCACCGGCUAACUACGUGCCAGCAGCCGCGGUAAUACGUAGGGUGCAAGCGUUAAUCGGAAUUACUGGGCGUAAAGCGUGCGCAGGCGGUCCGCUAAGACAGAUGUGAAAUCCCCGGGCUUAACCUGGGAACUGCAUUUGUGACUGGCGGGCUAGAGUAUGGCAGAGGGGGGUAGAAUUCCACGUGUAGCAGUGAAAUGCGUAGAGAUGUGGAGGAAUACCGAUGGCGAAGGCAGCCCCCUGGGCCAAUACUGACGCUCAUGCACGAAAGCGUGGGGAGCAAAACAGGAUUCAGAUACCCUGGUAGUCCACGCCCUAAACGAUGUCAAACUAGUUGUCGGGUCUUCAUUGACUUGGUAACGUAGCUAACGCGUGAAGUUGACCGCCUGGGGAGUACGGUCGCAAGAUUAAAACUC
rnacentral:rRNA from 1 species